CACGUAGUUAGCCGUGGCUUUCUGGUGAGGUACCGUCAAGGUACCAGUAGUUAGUUGGUACUUGUUCUUCCCUCACAACAGAGUUUUACGAUCCGAAAACCUUCGUCACUCACGCGGCGUUGCUCCGUCAAACUUGCGUCCAUUGCGGAAGAUUCCCUACUGCUGCCUCCCGUAGGAGUCUGGGCCGUGUCUCAGUCCCAGUGUGGCCGAUCACCCUCUCAGGUCGCUACGCAUCGUCGCCUUGGUGGCCAUUACCCCACAACUAGCUAAUGCGCCGCGGGCCCAUCCUGCAGUGACAGCCGAAACCGUCUUUCCGUGGAACCUCGAGGAGAGGUUACCAAACUAUUCGGUAUUAGGCCUACCCGGUUUCCCGGAGUUACUCCCGAUCUGCAGGGCGAGGUUCGCCCAGUUGUUACCUCCACCCGUCCGCCCGACUAAAACCGCGUUAGGACG
rnacentral:rRNA from 1 species